UACAGAGGGUGCGAGCGUUAAUCGGAAUUACUGGGCGUAAAGCGUGCGUAGACGGUUAUGUAAGUCGGGUGUGAAAGCCCCGGGCUCAACCUGGGAAUGCCAUUCGAGACUGCAUAGCUAGGGUGCGGAAGAGGGAAGCGGAAUUUCAGGUGUAGCGGUGAAAUGCGUAGAGAUGUGGAGGAACACCGAUGGCGAAGGCAGCCCCCUGGG
rnacentral:rRNA from 1 species